rnacentral:rRNA from 1 species
AUUGAACGCUGGCGGCAUGCUUUACACAUGCAAGUCGAACGGUAACAGGCCGCAAGGUGCUGACGAGUGGCGAACGGGUGAGUAAUGCAUCGGAACGUGCCCAGUCGUGGGGGAUAACUACUCGAAAGAGUAGCUAAUACCGCAUACGAUCUAUGGAUGAAAGCGGGGGACCGUAAGGCCUCGCGCGAUUGGAACGGCCGAUGUCAGAUUAGGUAGUUGGUGGGGUAAAGGCUCACCAAGCCAACGAUCUGUAGCUGGUCUGAGAGGACGACCAGCCACACUGGGACUGAGACACGGCCCAGACUCCUACGGGAGGCAGCAGUGGGGAAUUUUGGACAAUGGGCGCAAGCCUGAUCCAGCAAUGCCGCGUGCAGGAAGAAGGCCUUCGGGUUGUAAACUGCUUUUGUACGGAACGAAACGGCUCUGGUUAAUACCCGGGGCUAAUGACGGUACCGUAAGAAUAAGCACCGGCUAACUACGUG